CUGGCGGAUUGUAAACUAAAGCUCUCGAGUAGUUCGGCUAGCCUGGUAAAUAAGUUCUCUGGAAAGGGACGACAUGGAGGGUGAAAUCCCCGUCUUUGGCCAGAGCAUAGUCCAACGUUUGCUUGGAAGUGAAGAGUCAGGUUGUUUGGUAUUGCAGCCUAAAGCUGGAGGUAAAUCUCUCCUAAAGCUAAAUAUUGACGAAAGACCGAUAGCGAACAAGUACCGUGAGGGAAAGAUGAAAAGCACUUUGAAAAGAGGGUCAAAAAGUACGUGAAAUUGCUGAAAGGGAACCGUAUGAAAUCAGCUUGUCUCUUUGGUAAUCAACCUGGAUCUCGAUCUGGGUGCACUUGCCAGUGAGUCAGCCUGCGACAAUUUGAUUUGGGGGAAAAAAUUAGGGGGAAUGUGGCCUGGGCUUCGGUUCAGGUGUUAUAGCCCUUUGAAAAAUACCCUGGGUUGGAUUGAGGACUGCAGCAAGCCAUUUGGGAAGAACUGUGGGYGCUUGGUUAUGGUUAGGAGAAAAUUUCUGCUUCGGGUGGUGUUUUUCUAAUGGUGGCCAACUCGCCUACUUUUUCUUUUUCUUGCUUAGGUCG
rnacentral:rRNA from 1 species